AAGUGUGGCGACACAUAGAUCUGACGAAUACUAAUCGAUCGAGGACUUAACCAAU
rnacentral:rRNA from 1 species